AUAUUCAUUACACAACUGCAGCACUGUUAUAAUCCCUAUAUUGAAUCUUGUAGAGAGAGGGAGUUGCGACCGUUGGUACGCGACAACUGUCGGGUGAAGAUAACCAGCCAGGAAGACCCCAUUAAAGGUGUUUGGAGAGGUGGAUCAUUGUUGGCAUCUAGCCCUGAUUUUGAAUCAAUGUGUGUAUCCAAGUUGGAAUAUGAAGAGCUUGGGUCCACACGUUGCCGACGGCGGUUUUUCCACUAAUUUAUAUGACAAAUAAUGGAGCGAAUAUUACGUGCGCCGUGCGUACUUACGCCCGACAGUGUGGUACAGGGGGGUCGGGGUGUUAUGCUAUUUUUUUCUUUUACGCUCGUCCCGGAUGUACAUACGGAUGGGCGCAUGUAAUAUUUUUCCCCAAAUACUGAUAUUGAAUUGGAUAUGGUUCCAUGGAUGGUAUCUGA